AUUGAACGCUGGCGGCAGGCGUAACACAUGCAAGUCGAGCGGGGUUCUCGGACCGAGCCGCGGACGGGUGAGUAGGGCGUAGGAAGCUAUUCGAUAGAGGGGGAUGCCAGGUGGAAACGACCGUUAAUACCGCUUAAUGUCUACGGACCAAAGUGUGGGACCUGCGGGCCACAUGCUCUCGGAUGCGCCAACGUGGGAUUAGCUGGUUGGUGGGGUAAGGGCUCACCAAGGCGACGAUCCCUAGCUGGUUUGAGAGGAUGAUCAGCCACACUGGAACUGAGACACGGUCCAGACUCCUACGGGAGGCAGCAGUGGGGGAUAUUGGACAAUGGGCGAAAGCCUGAUCCAGCCAUGCCGCGUGUGUGAAGAAGGUCUUCGGAUUGUAAAGCACUUUAAGUUGGGAGGAAGGGCAGUAAGUUAAUACCUUGCUGUUUUGACGUACCGACAGAAUAAGCACCGGCUAACUUCGUGCCAGCAGCCGCGGUAACAC
rnacentral:rRNA from 1 species